GGUCUCGUGGCUAAUGGAUAAGGCGUUGGUCUACGGAACCAAAGGUUGUGGGUUCGAGUCCCAUCGAGAUCG
rfam:Perkinsus marinus ATCC 50983 gcontig_1104296684398, whole genome shotgun sequence.